AGAUUGAACGCUGGCGGCAUGCCUAACACAUGCAAGUCGAACGGGAGUAGCAAUACUCUAGUGGCGGACGGGUGAGGAAUACGUAGGAAUUUGCCCUUAAGUGGGGGAUAACCCGGGGAAACCCGGAUUAAUACCGCAUGACCUCGAAAGAGCAAAGUGGGGGAUCGCAAGACCUCACGCUUUUGGAGAAGCCUACGUCGGAUUAGCUAGUUGGUGAGGUAAUGGCUCACCAAGGCGACGAUCCGUAACUGGUCUGAGAGGAUGAUCAGUCACACCGGAACUGAGACACGGUCCGGACUCCUACGGGAGCAGCAGUGGGGAAUAUUGGACAAUGGGCGCAAGCCUGAUCCAGCAAUGCCGCGUGUGUGAAGAAGGCCUUCGGUUGUAAAGCUACUUUAAGUUAGGAAGAAAAAACGUACGACGUACUAACACAGUAGAGUACUUGACGGUACCGACACGAAUAAGACACCGGCUAACU
rnacentral:rRNA from 1 species